GACGAACGCUGGCGGCGUGCCUAAUACAUGCAAGUAGAACGAGUUGCGAACGGGUGAGUAAUGUCUGGGAAACUGCCCGAUGGAGGGGGAUAACUACUGGAAACGGUAGCUAAUACCGCAUACCAUCGGAUGUGCCCAGAUGGGAUUAGCUAGUAGGUGGGGUAACGGCUCACCGAGGCGACGAUCCCUAGCUGGUCUGAGAGGAUGACCAGCCACACUGGGACUGAGACACGGUCCAGACUCCUACGGGAGGCAGCAGUGGGGAAUAUUGCACAAUGGGCGCAAGCCUGAUGCAGCCAUGCCGCGUGUAUGAAGAAGGCCUUCGGGUUGUAAAGUACUUUCAGUGGGGAGGCGUUACCCGCAGAAGAAGCACCGGCUAACUCCGUGCCAGCAGCCGCGGUAAUAC
rnacentral:rRNA from 1 species